rnacentral:rRNA from 1 species
CUAUGCGCCUUGCCAGCCCGCUCAGGUGUGCCAGCCGCCGCGGUAAUACGGAGGAUGCGAGCGUUAUCCGGAUUUAUUGGGUUUAAAGGGUGCGUAGGUGGUUAAUUAAGUCAGCGGUGAAAGUUUGUGGCUCAACCAUAAAAUUGCCGUUGAAACUGGUUGACUUGAGUAUAUUUGAGGUAGGCGGAAUGCGUGGUGUAGCGGUGAAAUGCAUAGAUAUCACGCAGAACUCCGAUUGCGAAGGCAGCUUACUAAACUAUAGCUGACACUGAAGCACGAAAGCGUGGGGACCAAACAGG